rnacentral:rRNA from 1 species
AUUGAACGCUGGCGGCAGGCCUAACACCUGCAAGUCGAGCGAGCGGCGGACGGGUGAGUAAUGUAUGGGGACUGCCCGAUAGAGGGGGAUAACCACUGGAAACGGUUGCUAAUACCGCAUACUAUCGGAUAACCCAUAUGGGAUUAGCUAGUAGGUGAGGUAAUGGCUCACCUAGGCGACGAUCCCUAGCUGGUCUGAGAGGAUGAUCAGCCACAGUGAGACUGAGACACGGCCCAGACUCCUACGGAGACAGCAGUGGGGAGUAUUGCACAAUGGGCGCAAGCCUGAUGCAGCCAUGCCGCGUGAGUGAAGAAGGCGCUAGGGUUGUAAAGUACUUGCAGUCGGGAGGCGUUACCGACAGAAGAAGCACCGGCUAACUCCGUGCCAGCAGCCGCGGUAAUAC